rnacentral:lncRNA from 1 species
CUUUUAUCUGGAGUAGGGUAAGGUUUGUAUUUUCCUUUUAUACCUUACUGUGAUGGCUAAUUGUAGCUGUCUAAAUGGUGCACUGUUGAGCAAUUGAGGCCAUCAGAAUGGCUGGCAGGCUUGUGUCUUUGGCAUUUUCUUGAUGGUUGGUUGAUGUAUGGGGACUUAGCCCACUGUGGGUGGAACCAGCCCUAGUAAGGGGAGGAGAGGUCAUAGAGAAAGGUAGCUGAGCAGAUGAAUAAUCAGAGUUCCUAUCUGUUGUCAAGCUGCUGCCUUGUGUUCUUAUCUCGUAUUCCAUUGAUGAUGAACUGUAACUUAUGGGGUGAAUAAAACCUUCACUUUCCCACAUUGGCAUUUUUAUGUUUCCUAUAACAAUAGGAAACUAACUUGAACAUUCGGGAUUUUCUUGAGAUCUGCUCUGAUAGUCCCUCCUCCUGCAGGUAUGGAACCUCAGUUUUUAAAUCAAUAAACACAGUUCCUGGACACUCUAAACUGUUGAAAUAUUCGCUCUGCCAACCGCAUCACACUGCUUAGGGUUUAUUCGGAAGGCAUCAUCAGAAAAUUUCAUCAGUAACCAUGAAAAACGUAUAAAGAAAUUAGAGGAACUAAAAUCUGAAAUCCAGAAGUGUAAAAUCGAGCGGGAUGAACUUUCUCAAAUCCUGGACCUUUAUGUCAAUGAUGGUUUGAACUACAGGCUGAGUGUUGAAUUGCCAAUGCUUAAAUCCCAACAUGAGAUGAGAACGAUGGAUAUGCAUAAGAUGACCAACUGGAUAAGUGAUGCCAUGGAGAAGUACAAGGAGCUCACNCACAAGAGAAACAAUCCUA